CUGACGAGACGAAUUGCUACCGGUCCAUCGUAAAGCCACCAAUCUAACUAGAGCCCUCCCCUAGCCCACGACUUUGAAGGCUUUUCAAUAAACGCCGGCGAGGAAGCCAGCCUCAUUGAGUUUGAGAGAUCCCAUUUGACUGGACACUGCCAUGCAUACACGCAUACGGUUAUUUAUCCAGGUUUCGCUGCUGGCUACAGUAGGCGAAUAGCUGCUGCUAUCACUUUCACUGUCCAGAUCUCUUGGGAUAAAUUCUUGCUUAAUGAUAUUGUCUUGUAGAAACUUCCUUAUGUAAGGAACCAGCUGAAAUAAAUAACUGUUUGAAAUAUAAAA